UACGUAGGGGGCAAGCGUUAUCCGGAAUUAUUGGGCGUAAAGAGUGCGUAGGUGGUUUUGUAAGCGCGGGGUGAAAGGCUAUGGCUCAACCAUAGUAAGCCUUGCGAACUGCAAGACUUGAGUGCAGGAGAGGAAAGUGGAAUUCCUAGUGUAGCGGUGAAAUGCGUAGAUAUUAGGAGGAACACCAGUGGCGAAGGCGACUUUCUGGACUGUAACUGACACUGAGGCACGAAAGCGUGGGGAGCAAACAGG
rnacentral:rRNA from 2 species